GGGGUGCUCGAGUGGCGAACGGGUGAGUAACACGUGAGUAACCUGCCCUUGACUUUGGGAUAACUUCAGGAAACUGGGGCUAAUACCGGAUAGGAGCUCCUGCUGCAUGGUGGGGGUUGGAAGGUUUCGGCGGUUGGGGAUGGACUCGCGGCUUAUCAGCUUGUUGGUGGGGUAGUGGAUUACAAAGGCUUUGACGGGUAGCCGGCCUGAGAGGGUGACCGGCCACAUUGGGACUGAGAUACGGCCCAG
rnacentral:rRNA from 1 species